UACGGAGGGUGCAAGCGUUAUCCGGAUUCACUGGGUGUAAAGGGAGCGUAGGUGGGUUGGUAAGUCAGUGGUGAAAUCCCCGAGCUUAACUUGGGAACUGCCAUUGAUACUAUCAGUCUUGAAUACUGUGGAGGUUAGCGGAAUAUGUCAUGUAGCGGUGAAAUGCUUAGAUAUGACAUAGAACACCAAUUGCGAAGGCAGCUGGCUACACAAAUAUUGACACUGAGGCUCGAAAGCGUGGGGAUCAAACAGG
rnacentral:rRNA from 1 species